UUUUUCGGAGAGUUUGAUCCUGGCUCAGGACGAACGCUGGCGGCGUGCCUAAUACAUGCAAGUCGAGCGGACAGAAGGGAGCUUGCUCCCGGAUGUUAGCGGCGGACGGGUGAGUAACACGUGGGUAACCUGCCUGUAAGACUGGGAUAACUCCGGGAAACCGGAGCUAAUACCGGAUAGUUCCUUGAACCGCAUGGUUCAAGGAUGAAAGACGGUUUCGGCUGUCACUUACAGAUGGACCCGCGGCGCAUUAGCUAGUUGGUGAGGUAACGGCUCACCAAGGCGACGAUGCGUAGCCGACCUGAGAGGGUGAUCGGCCAC
rnacentral:rRNA from 1 species